rnacentral:misc_RNA from 1 species
GCGUGCCGGGUUUAUGACCUGGUGCGGAUUUUUCGUGUCCCCAUCGUCUAGAGGCCUAGGACACUGCCCUUUCACGGCUGUAACAGGGGUUCGAAUCCCCUUGGGGACGCCAAUCCGAUAAUGAGUGAAAGACAUUAUCACGAAUAUCUUAAAGAUGAUUCUUCGGAGUCAUGUUUACGAUAUUGCUCUUUAACAAUCUGGAACAAGCUGAAAAUUGAAACAUGACAGCUGAACAAUUAUGAGCGCCUUCGGGUGUGUCGUGAUGAAUCAGUCUGUCAAUGAGUCUCUCAAAUAAUCGCAGCGCGGAUCGUGACUUUGGUUUACUAAAGACACCUUCGGGUUGUGAGGUUAAGCGACUAAGCGUACACGGUGGAUGCCUUG